GGCCUCAGAACCGCCCGGAGAGAAGCCGCCUUGGAUGGACAGAGGGACGGAGCAGCGAGCAUCUGGCCAGUCGUGUCCCCAGCUCCCCUACAGCGGUCUCCAGCUGCUGUCUGCCCGCUGCCCGCCUGCCUGGCAUCUCUCUCCCGUGCUUCCCAUAUGGCAGGCCAGGGACUGGAGCUUAUUAUCUUACCGGACAAUCUAUAAGGUGCUAGCUGCAUUCCUGGCCUGGGAGAAGGGAGCCUGUCCGACCCCCCAUGUCAUGCUGGAUGGCUUUGCAGAGGUGCCUCACCUGAUCCUGGAUGGAUGUCAUCACCCUACAGUGUGGGUAUCAAGGGCGGGGAAGAAGGGGGCUGGGAAGCUCCAGAGGGAUUGGGUGGUCUCCAGUCACUCCCCUCCGUGUGAACCCAGCUGCUCUUCCACUCUGGAGCUGGAAAGCUGUCAGCUGCCAUGCCAUGGUGCCAAGCACAUAGUAGGACUUCAAG
rnacentral:lncRNA from 1 species